CACAGACUCAUAUCACCUUAUACAACCACAGACACACUCAGCCACACUCACAGGCAGGAGUCAGGGAAAUACUUUUUCAGAUCUGAAGGACAACAUUUUAAAUACCACAUCCAAAGGAAAGUUUUGUAAAACGACUUCCUGCCUCCUGCAACUCAGAAGAGUCCCCACAAGCAUUCUCCUUGCUGUCUCAGGGUUAUAUCACAAACUUCCAUUCAUACCAGACCAGAUAUAGCGAUCCUUUCUUGGAUUCAGAGGAGGUGGUCAAAAAUACUCAUGGAAGAAACAAACACAUACUAAUGAGCUCAGACCUCUGGGUGGAAAGAUUGGAAAGAAGCAGCAAAAUUUCCGAAGACUUCUAGAGCUCAGCUGCUUCCCCUCCUCUGGGUACCACACUGCAUCCUCCCAGCCUUGUCUGAAGACUGCAUCCCAGCCUCAUCUCAUCCCCCAUUCCUGGGUGUCCCUGAGCUUAAAGACAAGCAUCAACCAAGUUCCUUUUAACCCCUUCUAAUCACUCCAUGGAAAUGAGAACAGCAGAGAAGUUAUGAAAGUUCUGGAAUCUCACAGAGUUCUUACAUCCCAAUCGACUCUCCACUUGAAAAAGAGAAAAUUCACUCCUGCCUUGUCAACAGAACAUUGGCUUCUGGUUCUCCCAGCCUGAGAAUCCUGGAGCUACUCUUCAUCUUGACUCCGUGGCCGGGAGCCAGCACCUUCCUCUACACCUGCCCUCUCCGAUAGACUCCGUCUCUGCCAAGUGGCUCUGCAAAGAGGUUAAAUAAGCAACCACGAUCAGCUGGCUUUCCCAGAAAGGGUCCAGCAGGUUCACUCCUCUUCCCUCUGAAAGACCAGGCUGCGCCUUCAGCCUCACCACCCAGGAAGCAUCACUCUUCUGACUGAACUAGGGUUUCCAGAUGGAGGUGGGCUCGUGCGGCACACAGUGACAGGACAGGCCAUGGUGUAACUGCAGUGUGAAUUGAAAGGGAGUGUGUGACAAGUGUAUGAGCGUCAAAGAAGGUCAGGUACCGCCUGCUGUGCUCUUUGCCCCAGGAAAACCUGCUCUCUGCAAGGGCCUGAUGGUUCACUGAUGACUCAGAAGGGAGCUGAGGUGCUCUGGGAAAAGCACCAUUCAUGUCUUUCCUGGGCCAUUUACGAAACAGAGAGAGAUAACUUGGGAGAAGGAACCUGGAAAGUGGCCUGGCAUAAAGACUCGAGAAGCAGAGCAUGAGCCGUCCAGUUUUACAGAAGAGGAAACUGCCCCAGAGAAGAGACCUUCUCAAGACCGUGACCGGGAAACAGUGGAUUGGGUUUCUAGCUCCAGGGUCAGGAGGGAGAAGGAGAGGGGUGAGCGGAGUGUGGGCAAUCAGGACCCGGGAAGCAGGCAACCCAGGCCAGGCACCUGAGGCAAGAAUGCGGACGUCUCAGAAGGAACUGGAAACAAGAGCACACCUACACCCACCUCCUAAACCAGACCAUUUUUAUAAUUCUUGUGUUUUCUGUAUUAAUUUUCUCCCAUGGUAGGAAAUAGUAAAUACCAAAGCUCCAAUUGACCUCC
ensembl:lncRNA